AUAUAAUAUGAAUUCCAAAGCAACUGAU
rnacentral:piRNA from 1 species